rnacentral:tRNA from 1 species
GGAGGGGUCGCAUAGUCUGGCCUAGUGCGCGCGCCUGGAAAGCGCGUAUGUGGAAACGCAUCGAGGGUUCGAAUCCCUCCCCCUCCG